AUUGAACGCUGGCGGCACGCCUAACACAUGCAAGUCGAACGGCAGCGAGACUAGUAGCAAUACUAGUUGUCGGCGAGCGGCGGACGGGUGAGUAACACGUAGGAAUCUGCCCUUAAGCGGGGGAUAACCAAGGGAAACUUUGGCUAAUACCGCAUAAUCUCGAGAGAGCAAAGCUGCCCGCAAGGGUGGCACUGGAGGAGGAGCCUGCGUCCGAUUAGCUAGUUGGUGGGGUAAUGGCCUACCAAGGCGAUGAUCGGUAACUGGUCUGAGAGGACGACCAGUCACACUGGGACUGAGACACGGCCCAGACUCCUACGGGAGGCAGCAGUGGGGAAUAUUGGACAAUGGGGGCAACCCUGAUCCAGCGAUGCCGCGUGAGUGAAGAAGGCCUUCGGGUCGUAAAGCUCUUUAGGUUGGGAAGAAGUGUAUUGGCUGAAUAAUCCAGUACAUUGACGGUACCGACAGAAUAAGCACCGGCAAACUCUGUGCCAGCCGCCGCGGUAAUAC
rnacentral:rRNA from 1 species